ACUGCUCUGAACAUUCAUAAAACAUGGAGGGACCAGGGGCGCAAAUAGCCCACAUCAUGAAAACGCGCGGAUCCCCCCUGGAGCGGGUCGGGUCGCGCGCGGGUCAUGGAGGACUAAAACGGCGCCGUUUUGUUAACACAUUAAAACUAAUUUUUUUUUACAAAAAAUUCAUUUUUCAGUUGAAGAGAAACAAAAAAAUUUCAAAACAAUUUUUCUCCUCUGCUUUUUUUUAAAAAAAACGACGACCCCUCCCCUCCCUUCUAUCAAAACUCCGGCCAUUAAAGCCUUUUCGGCCUCCGGCGCACCGCCAUCGUGGCCCUAGGCCGACGGCAAGGGAAAUGGGCUACUCGGCCCUCCCAUCGUAGCGCACCAAAGCUCGGCCAACAACCCGAAGGACCGAGGGCUUUAGAUCCCUCCCUAGAAACUGAUUCCGACAACGGUAAGAGGUACUCCGACGACGGAGCCACAGGCGAGUAGGUAAUUGACGUUGAUGGAGCAAGUGGGUGAGGGGACGUGCGGUGCGGCAGUGGCAGAGCUAGGGACGUGCGGCGCUAGGCUAGGGUUAGGGGGAUUAGGUUUCUUUUUUAGGAUUUGGGCUGAUUGGGUUUGAUUUAGGUGGGUUGGGAUUUGGGUAUUUAUUGGGCCAUCUGAUUUGGGUUUGUAAUUGGGUUAUUUUGGGUUUGUUUGCCUGGGCCGGGCGAAAUUGGGCUGCUACAAAGAUAAUCCAAGAAUCUUGUCAUAUUCCGAGGUUACUUCCAUUUCUUCUACUUUGGUGAAGCGGUACCAUGUGAAACAUUUUUCGUGGAACAUCUCUUGAAACACAAGAUGAUGGUUGUUUUUGGAUGAGAGUUGUUCUUGGAUAAUAGUUAUUUUGACUUGUUCCAAACAUGGAUUAUUCUCAACAUAGUUGUUCUCAAUGUAGAGGUUGUUCUAAAUAAGAGUUGUUCCUCAAUAA